AUGAAUACUAAUUUGAGUUCUUUCUUGAUCUCUAUAGUAGUCUUUGGAUCACUUCUAGGAGUUUUUCAAGGAGGAGAGUUGAGAAAACAUUUUUACAAGGAUAGUUGUCUGCUAGCUGAGGACAUUGUGAAGGAAAUCAUUUGGAAACGUGUGGCAAGCAAUUCAACUUUGCCUGCCAAGUUUCUGAGGAUGCAUUUUAUGAUCGGUUGCGAUGCCUCUGUAUUGCUAGACUCUACAUCAAAUAACUAGGUUGAGAAGGCGGCAACUCCAAACCUAUCUCUGGGAGGAUUCAAUGUAAUAGAUGAGGUGAAGACUGAGUUAGAGAAGACCUGUACUAGAGUAGUUUCUUGUGCAGAUAUCGUUGCUUUGGCUGCUAGAGACUCAGUUUCCUACCAAUUUCAGAGGCCAAUCUGGGAAGUACUUACCUGUAGGAGGGAUGGAAGCAUAUUGCGUAUUUCAGAUGCCCUCAACAACAUCCCAUCACCAUGCUUCAAUUUCAGCAGCCUAAAUCAAUCUUUUGCCAACAAAAGCCUCACAGUUCAUGAUCUUGUUGUUUUAUCAUGUGGACAUACAAUUGGUGUUGGGCAUUGCAAAUUCUUCAGCAAAAGGCUAUACAAUUUCGCAGGAAAAAAUGAUGCAGAUCCUUCUCUAAACUCUACCUAUGCUGCUUUCUUGAAAACCCAAUGCGAAAGCCUCUCAAACAACAUAACUAUCGUGCCAAUGGAUCCUGGAAGCCCCCUAUCCUUUGACAACAACUACUACAAAAACUUGAAGCUGGAUCAAGGUCUUUUCCAAUCUGAUGCUGCACUUUUAACCAACAAUGAAGCUACCAAUACUGUCGAUGAGCUGCUUGACUCUCAAGAUUUUUUCACGGAGUUUGGUCAAUCGAUGAAGAGGAUGGGAGCCAUUCAUGUGCUUACAGGAAGUUUGGGAGAGAUUAGGAAGAAGUGUAAUGUGUUAGAAAUUAGAACUCCAGAAUGUAGAGCAAAGAAACAAAGAGAGAUGAAUACUAAUUUGAGUUCCUUCUUUAUCUUUAUAGCAGUGUUUGGGCUUCUAGGAGUUUGUCAUGGACAGUUGAGAAUGCAUUUUUAUGAGGAGAGUUGCCCCCAUGCUGAGGAAAUUGUGAAGGAAAUCAUAUGGAACCGUGUGGCAUGCAAUUCAACUUUGCCUGCCAAGUUUUUGAGGAUGCAUUUUCAUGAUUGUUUCGUAAGGGGUUGUGAUGCCUCUGUACUGAUAGACUCUACCGCAAAUAACUUAGCUGAGAAGGCAGCAAUUCCAAACCUAUCUCUGGCAGGAUUCAACAUAAUAGAUGAGGUGAAGACUGAGUUAGAGAAGACAUGUCCUGGAGUAGUUUCUUGUGCAGAUAUUGUUGCUUUGGCUGCUAGAGACUCAGUUUCCUACCAAUUUCAGAGGCCAAUUUGGGAUGUACUUACCGGUAGAAGGGAUGGAAUCAUAUCGCGCGAGUCAGAGGCCCUUGCCAACAUCCCAUCACCAUUCUUCAAUUUCACUACCCUGAAACAAUCUUUUGCUAACAAAAGCCUCUCAGUUCAUGAUCUUGUUGUUUUAUCAGGUGGACAUACAAUUGGUGUUGGGCAUUGCAAUUUCUUCAGCAACAGGCUAUACAAUUUCACAGGAAAAAAUGAUGAAGAUCCUUCUCUAAACUCAACCUAUGCUGCUUUCUUGAAAACCCAAUGCAAAAGCCUCUCAAACAAUGUUACUAUCGUGCCAAUGGAUCCUGGAAGCCCCCUAUCCUUUGACAACAAUUAUUUCAAAAUCUUGAAGCAAAACGAAGGUCUUUUCCAAUCUGAUGCUGCACUUUUAACCGAUGGUGAAGCUACCUAUAAUGUCAAUGAGCUGCUUAACUCUCAGAAUUUUUUCACGGAGUUUGCGCAAUCGAUUAUGAGGAUGGGAGCCAUUCAAGUGCUUACAGGAACUUCGGGAGAGAUUAGGAAGAACUGUAGUGUGGUGAAUCCUUGAGAGCUAGUUGGCUUAUAAGUGUGACAAAUGAGUUAUU